UACGUAGGGUGCAAGCGUUAAUCGGAAUUACUGGGCGUAAAGCGUGCGCAGGCGGUCUUGCAAGACAGGUGUGAAAUCCCCGGGCUUAACCUGGGAACUGCACUUGUGACUGCAAGGCUGGAGUACGGCAGAGGGGGAUGGAAUUCCGCGUGUAGCAGUGAAAUGCGUAGAUAUGCGGAGGAACACCGAUGGCGAAGGCAAUCCCCUGGGCCUGUACUGACGCUCAGUGCACGAAAGCGUGGGGAGCAAACAGG
rnacentral:rRNA from 1 species